ACAGAGGUCCCGAGCGUUAGGCGGAAUCACUGGGCUUAAAGCGUGUGUAGGCGGAUGCCUAAGUACCUUGUGAAAUCCCCGGGCUCAACCUGGGAACUGCAUCCGAAACUGCCUUGCUAGAGUAUGGGAGAGGGAAGUGGAAUUUCCGGUGUAGCGGUGAAAUGCGUAGAUAUCGGAAGGAACAUCAGUGGCGAAGGCGACUUCCUGGACCAAUACUGACGCUCAGGUGCGAAAGCGUGGGGAGCAAACAGGA
rnacentral:rRNA from 1 species